GAACCUGCGGCAGGUUCGAGUCGAGCAAGGCGAGACAACGGAGCCGCUGGCGGCGACGGCCCGAAGGGCGAGCAAAGCGCGUUAUCCUGCACGACCCACCA
rnacentral:sRNA from 1 species